rnacentral:rRNA from 1 species
UACAGUUGCCAUAUCAACCUGCAGCUCCCAGCUGACAGCCCCACUGUCACUCAGCAGGUGUGAGCCUGGUCAGUACCUGGAUUGGAGACCACCUGGGAAAGCUAAGGUUGUUGCUGAAA